AUGUUCCUGGAUUCUUCCGAUGGCAUUGAGGAGUACACCACAUCAGUCACUGGCUUCAUCAAUGAGCACAGCCGAGAGCUGCCCAGUGACACAAGCCUACCAGACGAGCUAAAUCCCUUAUAUGCUUGCUUCGAGGCAAGCAACAUUGAGGCAUGCAUGAGGGCAUCAGCUGUUCUGGACGACUGUGUGAUCACGCUCUCCGUAGCCGACAUGAGUAAGACCUUUAAACAGGUCAACAUUCACAAGGCCGCUGGGCCAGAUGGAUUACCAGGAUGGCUCUGGGCAUGUGCUGACCAACUGGCAGGUGACUUCACUGACAUUUUCAACAUGUCCCUGAUUGAGUUUGUAAUACCAACAUGUUUCAAGCAGACCACCAUAGUCCCUGUGCCCAAGAACACUAAGUUAACCUGCCUAAAUGACUACAGACCCAUAGCACUCACGUCCGUAGCCAUGAUCUGCUUUGAAAGGAUGGUCAUGGCUAACAUUAGCACCAUUAUCCCAGAAACCCUAGACCCACUCCAAUUUGCAUACCGCUCAAACAGAUCCACAGAUGAUGCAAUCUCUAUUGUACUACACACUGCCCUUUCCCAUAUGGACAAAAGGAACACCUACGUGAGAAUCCUAUCCAUUGACUACAGCUCAGUGUUCAACACCAUAGUGCCCUCAAAGCUCAUCACUAAGCUAAGGAUCCUGGGACUAAACACCUCCCUCUGCAACUGGAUCCUGGACUUCCUGACGGGCCUCCGCCAGGUGGUAAGGGCAGGUAACAACACAUCUGCCACGCUUAUCCUCAACACUGGAGCUCCUCAGGGGUGCGUGCUCAGUCCCCUCCUGCACUCCCUCUUCACCCACAACUGCAUGGCCAGGCACAACUCCAACACCAUCAUUAAGUUUGCAGAUGACACAACAGUGGUAGGCCUGAUCACUGACAAUGACGAGACAGCCGAUAGGGAGGAUGUCAGAGACCUGGCCAGGGGGUGCCAGAAUAACAACCUAUCCCUCAACGUAAUCAAGACAAAGGAGAUGAUUGUGGACUACAGGAAAAGGAGGACCGAGCACACCCCCAUUCUCAUCGACGAUGCUGUAGUGGAGCUGGUUGAGAGCUUCAAGUUCCUUAGUGUCCACAUCACUAACAAACUGGAAUGGUCCAAGCACACCAAGACAGUCUCAGGAAACUAA
rnacentral:lncRNA from 8 species